rnacentral:tRNA from 1 species
GAGGGUACAGCUCAGUGGUAGAGCACGUACUGGCAUGCAUGAGGUCCUAGGUUCAAUCCCCAGUACCUCCA